rnacentral:rRNA from 1 species
UUUGGCACUGUACUUUGGAUGCCUGCUUCUAACUGUCUCAUGGACAAUGGAUGGUGCUCUGGUCCCCUGCCUUCUAACGUUGGUGGGAGGCUGGACCCACGGAUGAAAACCUUGACCUCAAAUCGGGUGAGACUACCCGCUGAACU